AUGAACGCUGGCGGCGUGCCUAAUCCAUGCAAGUCGCGCGAACAGACGAGGAGCUUGCUCCUCUGACGUUAGCGGCGGACGGGUGAGUAACACGUGGAUAACCUACCUAUAAGACUGGGAUAACUUCGGGAAACCGGAGCUAAUACCGGAUAAUAUAUUGAACCGCAUGGUUCAAUAGUGAAAGACGGUUUUGCUGUCACUUAUAGAUGGAUCCGCGCCGUAUUAGCUAGUUGGUAAGGUAACGGCUUACCAAGGCGACGAUGCGUAGCCGACCUGAGAGGGUGAUCGGCCACACUGGAACUGAGACACGGUCCAGACUCCUACGGGAGGCAGCAGUAGGGAAUCUUCCGCAAUGGGCGAAAGCCUGACGGAGCAACGCCGCGUGAGUGAUGAAGGUCUUCGGAUCGUAAAACUCUGUUAUUAGGGAAGAACAAAUGUGUAAGUAACUAUGCACGUCUUGACGGUACCUAAUCAGAAAGCCACGGCUAACUACGUG
rnacentral:rRNA from 1 species